rnacentral:lncRNA from 1 species
AUUAAUCUCUCUUUAAUCUUCAUAUAAUCUUCUCUUUAUCUCCAAGUUUGAAAACGUGUGCCAUAUACCCUUGAAUUCAAAUUCCUAAGUAAACUACUUGGUCAUGAAUAUGAACCAAUGUUACAAAUAAUUCCCAACCCAUAUUACAUGAAUUAAAUACUAAAAAUACUUGAAUGAAAAUAAACCUAAGACUAUAUGAGAAUGCAA